GAGAACAUCACAUCUACAGGAACACAGAGCCCCUCCGUGUGAGCUACUGUUCCUGGGAAAGCUGGUCAUACCAAGGACAGCCCUUUGGCAAGCAUGCAGCCUUUGUUCCUCUGCCUACUUAAGCAAGCUUCUUUUGGGGGGGCGGUUGCGGGUGCACACCUCCAUCCAGUCGGCCGCCACUGGACACGCUCCCGAAUUGGUCCAUGUGAUGGCGGGAGCUGGCAAUUCUGAAAUCCACAAGGCAAGCAGCGGGCUGGAAACUCAGAAGAAAGAAGAUGGAGCCUUCUUCAGCCCAUGUUUCUAUGUGAGAAUAAUAUGGAACAGAUCCCCCCUAUAUCCCACUCCUGGCCAAUCCAAGAUGGACAUGAAGUCUCAAGGAAGAAGAGUUGUUUGAAGAGUCCCUAAGACAACCUCCAAAGUAUAGUGUCUCUUGCAAAGAAGAAACUCAAAAUUAUUAGUUUUCUUUCUCUUCACUCCUCUACCUCCCUUCGCUUCCCAUCUAGCAGCUCCUCACUGCUUGCUCUUAAGUUUCCUGCCUCUGUAUUCCCAGGCUGAUGUGGAGAGAUUGCAACAAGCACGGCUUGACAAGUGGUACAUAGGUCUGCACCUGGGAUCUGAACUAGUGAACCCCAGGCCGCUGAAGUGGAACAUGUGAACUCAACCGCUGCACCACCGGGCUGGCCCCUAAGGUGCAGAAGACAGCCAAGCAAGUGGAGAUGCCCCUGUAAGCACACGCAGCCGCAAGAUCUUCUGAAGCAUCCAUCACAAGUUCAAGAAAGCACAAGAGAAGUGAAUCAGAAUACCAGAUGGAAUUAGCUGGAGCAGAACCAAGAGUCCCAGGAGAACUCUGCCGAUCCAAGUAAUGCACUGUGUAUGGAGAGCCCUGGAGACCCUACAACUAUCUGCUGCAUCUCCAGAGGAGCCUGUGGAGACAUGGCCAACCACGUAGAGACCAAAUGUUACACCAAUAGGCUACACAGAUUGUAAUUAUUAAAAUAAAAUCAAUAAGAUAUGAAAAGAUGUGUGUAUUGCUGUGAGUUCUCU
rnacentral:lncRNA from 1 species